AAAGCGUCGGUAAGGUGAUAUGAACCGUUACAGCCGGCGAUGUCCGAAUGGGGAAACCCAGUGCAAUUCGUUGCACUAUCGUUAACUGAAUACAUAGGUUAACGAGGCGAACCGGGGGAACUGAAACAUCUAAGUACCCCGAGGAAAAGAAAUCAACCGAGAUUCCCCCAGUAGCGGCGAGCGAACGGGGAGCAGCCCGGAGUCUGAAUCAGCUUGUGUGUUAGUGGAAGCGUCUGGAAAGUCGCAGGGUACAGGGUGAUACUCCCGUACACUAAAACGCACAGGUUGUGAACUCGAAGAGUAGGGCGGGACACGUGGUAUCCUGUCUGAAUAUGGGGGGACCAUCCUCCAAGGCUAAAUACUCCUGACUGACCGAUAGUGAACCAGUACCGUGAGGGAAAGGCGAAAAGAACCCCGGCGAGGGGAGUGAAAAAGAACCUGAAACCGUGUACGUACAAGCAGUAGGAGCCC
rnacentral:rRNA from 1 species